AGUUUGUGAGACCCUAUCAUGAAAAAAACCUAUCACCAAAAAGGGCGAGUGGAAUGGUGCAAGCAGUAAGAGCGCCUGCCUAGCAAGUGUGAGGUCCUGAGUUCAAACUCCAGUGCCACCAAAAAACAAAAACAAAAACAAAAAACCAUCUACAGUCAUUCCAAACUUUGAGGACAGUAGAGGUCUAUGGGCUUAAGUGUCCAGCAUGCAUUCUCCUUUCUUACAUAAAUGAAAGCACUCUGAUUAUUCUCAGGAAAGGUUCUGGUGGGUAGGUCUGACUGUGCCAGAGAAUAGCAGUUGGUAUGGGAAUGGGCCCAAAUCUAGGUCACUCAGAGCUCUCCAGGUUUUUGAUGGAACUCUUAAGAAGUACAUUCUCAUUUCUUUUCCAGCUAGAUUGUGAAGCUUGUAGAAUGUAAGCCUCAUGCUGCUGGGGACCAUCUUGCCACCCCAAGGAAAGCACUACCUGAGAAUGAGGCCAAUACAGACGAAAGCUGAGCUGUGGGAUGGAGGACACUGGAGACCAGAUAAAAAUAUUGAGUACCUGAGUGGGGAUAAAGGAGAACGGGAAAGGAGGAGAACUCAACUGUGAUAUCUAUAGGUGGAAACUGCAAAGGAAAAAGGAUAACCUGAAAAUAGAAGAUGGGCUAUUAGAUGUGGAAGGGGACCACCAGGAGGGGAGAAAGAAGGUGAAAGCUCUGCAACUUUCCUUUGCCUGUACCAGACCCUAUGGAGCCAUCAGUUCUGCUGAACAUUGCCAUACCCAUCAGGUACCUCACACAUUUGAAGAAUCAUUGGCACACCUAUGGUCAAUUUUUUUUUCCUUUUGGUGGUACUGGAGUUUGAACUCAGGCCUCACACUUGUUAGGCAGGUGCUGUACUGCUUGAGCCACUCUGCCAGCCCUCA